rnacentral:rRNA from 1 species
UGGGGAAUCUUGCGCAAUGGGCGAAGGCCUGACGCAGCGACGCCGCGUGCGGGAAGAAGGCCUUCGGGUUGUAAACCGCUUUCAGGAGGGAAGCGGUACCUCCAGAAGAAGCCCCGGCAACUACGUGCCAGCAGCCGCGGUAAUACGUAGGGGGCAAGCGUUGUCCGGAAUUAUUGGGCGUAAAGAGCUCGUAGGCGGUCCUUUAAGUCGGAAGUGAAAUCUCAAGGCUCAACCUUGAAACCGCUUUCGAUACUGGAGGACUUGAGGCAGGUAGGGGAGAGUGGAAUUCCUGGUGUAGCGGUGAAAUGCGCAGAUAUCAGGAGGAACACCGUGGGCGAAGGCGGCUCUCUGGGCCUGUCUAACGCUGAGGAGCGAAAGCGUGGGGAGCAAACAGGAUUAGAUACCCGAGUAG